CAGGUUGUAGUUCAGUGGUAGAACACUUGCCUAGCAUGUGUGAGACCCUGGGUUCAAUUCCCAGUGUCAUAC
rnacentral:tRNA from 1 species